rnacentral:rRNA from 1 species
GACGUAGGGCGCGAGCGUUGUCCGGAUUUAUUGGGCGUAAAGAGCUCGUAGGCGGCUUGUCGCGUUCGACUGUGAAAUCCCGCGGCUCAACCGCGGGCUUGCAGUCGAUACGGGCAGGCGUGAGUUCGGUAUGGGGAGACGGUGGAAUUCCUGUGGUGCGGUGAAAAUGCGCAGAUAUCAGGAGGAACACCGGUGGCGAAGGCGGCAUCCUGGACCAACACUGACGCUGAGGAGCGAAAGCCAGGGAGCAACGGG